GGGGAUAUAGCUCAGCCGGAAGAGCGUAUCAAUGGCAUUGAUAAGGUCAAGGGUUCGAUUCCCUUUAUCUCCA
rnacentral:tRNA from 1 species